UACGAGGGGUCCUAGCGUUGUUCGGAAUCAUUGGGCGUAAAGAGUCUGUAGGCGGUCUUGUAAGUCAGGUGUGAAAGCCCCGGGCUCAACCCGGGAAGUGCAUCUGAUACUGCUUGACUUGAGUGUUGGAGAGGGCAGUGGAAUUCCUGGUGUAGUGGUGAAAUACGUAGAUAUCAGGAGGAACACCGGUGGCGAAGGCGGCUGCCUGGCCAAACACUGACGCUGAGAGACGAAAGCGUGGGGAUCAAACAGG
rnacentral:rRNA from 1 species